AAUAAGUACCGUUUUGCACUAUUCACGUUUAACGUUUGACCGUUCGUCUUAUUUGAAAAUUUUUUAUGAUUAGUAUUUUUUUUAUUGCUAUUAGAUGAUAAAAUAUGAAUAGUACUUUAUGUGUGACUAAAUAUUUUCAAUUUUUUUAUAAAUUUUUUAAAUAAGAUGGACAGUUAAACGUUGGGUACAGAUAUCCACGACUGCACUUAUU
rfam:Oryza glumipatula chromosome 9, whole genome shotgun sequence.